CCCCCUUCAGCCUGAUUAGUUUCUGCUUUCACUUGUAUAUUUGGACCUCGCUUGUUGGGUGGACUUUGGAUAUUGCCUGCCUGUCUGCCUUAACAGAUUUGUUUGCUACAAAGCAAAAAAGUUGAAGACCUGCACCCUCUUAUAGGAUUGACGUUUAACAAGAGCGAGACCUGGAUGAAAAGAAGUGACCUGGAGGGGAAACAGUGCUGCAGCAGCUGUUGUGCUGAUGAAUCUUUUAAAAGAGGCUGGCUCACUUUGGAAUUGACUGACAGCGAGUCAUUACCACUGUUUGCACUUGACUGCAUCAGCCUGUUUGGAUAAGGCUCCCCCGACUUGAAGUGAACUGGACCGGAGUUUGGAAAUGAGGUGAAACCGACUGAUAAGGAGUUCCUGAAUUCUGCAGCUUUUCAUCACUACCUCCUGAAGUCUUUCUUCCCGGGAAUAGAAGAGCGGUGCGAUAACGAGCAGGACCAGCAGCAGGACGAGAGCGCUGACCAGCCCCGAAACCUGAGUCUGGCACCCCGUGGACUCCUUGACGAGGGUCUUAG